CCACCUUGUGAGGACACAGCAACAAGCUGCCCUCUUGGAAGCAGAAAGCAGCUCUCACCAGACAUCAAAUCUGCCAGCACAUUGAUCUUGGACUUCCCACCCUUCAGAACUACUGUCUGCGAGGGAUGAGCCUGAGGUGUCAGCAUCUUCACAGGUCUUUUGAGCCUGCAUGCACAAAAGGGUCUACUGUCCCUGGCUGCUUGAUAAUCUCUGGGAUCCUGCAUCUGCACUUACCAUGUCAGCUGGUCCACCCAGCUUCCUAUCACACUUCAGUUCCAUAAAUGGCUGCCUACAGAGGAAAGCUUCACAUGUGCCUAAAAACUCCCUUCAGAUCGUCAUCAGCCCGUAUUCAGCCACAAGGAGGUCUUUCAAUCUGAAACUCCAGAGAUAUUAAUAUCUAUCGCUGUACAAGCCAGCCCAGUUCUGG
rnacentral:lncRNA from 1 species